rnacentral:rRNA from 1 species
UAUGGCCCGAAAGGGUACACCUCCCACCCUUGUGUAUUAUUACUUUGUUGCUUUGGCGAGCUGCCUUCGGGCCUUGUAUGCUCGCCAGAGAAUACCAAAACUCUUUUUAUUAAUGUCGUCUGAGUACUAUAUAAUAGUUAAAACUUUCAACAACGGAUCUCUUGGUUCUGGCAUCGAUGAAGAACGCAGCGAAAUGCGAUAAGUAAUGUGAAUUGCAGAAUUCAGUGAAUCAUCGAAUCUUUGAACGCACAUUGCGCCCCUUGGUAUUCCGGGGGGCAUGCCUGUUCGAGCGUCAUUUCAACCCUCAAGCUUAGCUUGGUAUUGAGUCUAUGUCAGUAAUGGCAGGCUCUAAAAUCAGUGGCGGCGCCGCUGGGUCCUGAACGUAGUAAUAUCUCUCGUUACAGGUUCUCGGUGUGCUUCUGCCAAAACCCAAAUUUUUCUAUGGUUGACCUCGGAUCAGGUAGGGAUACCCGCUGAACUUAAGCAUAUCAUAGCCGGGAAAGAAAAA